UGAAUGGGCGCAGCUGAUCCUUCAAUGCCGCGUGGGUGAAGAAGGUCUCGGAUCGUAAAGCCCUUUCGACAGGGACGAUGAUGACGGUACCUGUAGAAGAAGCCCCGGCUAACUUCGUGCCAGCAGCCGCGGUAAUACGAAGGGGGCUAGCGUUGCUCGGAAUUACUGGGCGUAAAGGGCGCGUAGGCGGCUUAGUCAGUCAGGCGUGAAAUUCCUGGGCUUAACCUGGGGGCUGCGCUUGAUACGGCUAGGCUAGAGGGUAGGAGAGGGUCGCGGAAUUCCCAGUGUAGAGGUGAAAUUCGUAGAUAUUGGGAAGAACACCGGUGGCGAAGGCGGCGACCUGGCCUAUUACUGACGCUGAGGCGCGACAGCGUGGGGAGCAAACAGGAUUAGAUACCCUGGUAGUCCACGCCGUAAACGAUGUGCGCUGGAUGUUGGGGCCCAUAGGGUCUCAGUGUCGUAGCUAACGCGGUAAGCGCACCGCCUGGGGAGUACGGACGCAAGGUUGAAACUCAACGGAAUUGUCGGGGGCCCGCACAAGCGGUGGAGCAUGUGGUUUACUUCGAAGCAACGCGCAGAACCUUACCAGCCCUUGACAUGGGCACGCUCGGUCCAGAGAUGGACUUUUCCCGCAAUGGACCUGGCGCACGUGUGUGCUGGUUGUCAGCACUCGUGUCGUG
rnacentral:rRNA from 1 species